rnacentral:rRNA from 1 species
GAUGAACGCUGGCGGCGUGCCUAAUACAUGCAAGUCGAGCGAACAGACGAGGAGCUUGCUCCUCUGACGUUAGCGGCGGACGGGUGAGUAACACGUGGAUAACCUACCUAUAAGACUGGGAUAAAUUCGGGAAACCGGAGCUAAUACCGGAUAAUAUGUUGAAUCGCAUGGUUCAACAGUGAAAGACGGUCUUGCUGUCACUUAUAGAUGGAUCCGCGCCGCAUUAGCUAGUUGGUAAGGUAACGGCUUACCAAGGCAACGAUGCGUAGACGACCUGAGAGGGUGAUCGGCCACACUGGAACUGAGACACGGUCCAGACUCCUACGGGAGGCAGCAGUAGGGAAUCUUCCGCAAUGGGCGAAAGCCUGACGGAGCAACGCCGCGUGAGUGAAGAAGGUCUUCGGAUCGUAAAACUCUGUUAUUAGGGAAGAACAAAUGUGUAAGUAACUAUGCACGUCUUGACGGUACCUAAUCAGAAAGCCACGGCUAACUACGUG